AAUUUAGCAUGUCUCCUAGCCAUAAAUAAAUGUACACUUCUGUUAAACAGGUAGAAGAUUAUUCUCAGCUCGAAUGUCAACCACAGCUAUGCAUCAAAACCUGCCUUCAGAAAAAAAAAGUAAAUAAUUUUUCCCAUCCCUUUUGUUUCUUUCUGUCUCUUCUGGUGUUUUGGUUUUUUACCUUCCUUUGACAUUUUUAUUCUUACCUUCUCCAUAUUUAUAUAAACACCUGUUGAGGCCUCUAUUUUUUCUAUCACUUAUCUCCCCUAGUUUCCUUCCCCCCUCAUUCUAGAUCUCGUUUCUGUCCUUUCCUUAUCUUGAGAGACACAGUCAAACUAUGACUAGUUUGUGGUUUAUGCUAUAACAUUUUAUAAAGAAGAGGCACAUGUCCAAAAUGUUCACUUAUUUUUGAAGCCAUGAGGCAGCAUCUACUCUUCUGUAGUUUUAGUGGUUUGCCCAUUUAGAGACACAAUUUUUUUUCAGAUAAUUUCUAAAAAUAUUCAAUCUUUUUAUCUAAAAAUGCACAAGCACAAUGCCAGUGAUAGCAACAUUCAAGUUCAGUGGUUGGUUUUUAACAGCAAAAGAUGGGGGCUAGUUUCCAUGAUGUUUUGGAGUGGAUCACAAUUCUGAAUUCUUUUUUUCCUACUAAAAUCCAAAAAAUCCAUCAUCUUGACUGUUCUCUCCUGCAUGGAAAAUCAGUUAGCUCACUUCUGAUGGAGGAAAUUAAACAAAUUAUAAGUUGAAUGACAGCAGAGUUUAGGCUCAGGUUUUGAACAUCAUAGCAAAAAGGACAUGGAGAGUAUUCAAAGAAACAUCAGUGUGCAAAAACAAUCCACAAAAUAGUGAAGGAUGGACUUUCACCUAAUGUAGACGCCCUUAAGGAGCUGUUGCAGAGACAAAAAUAAGAUUACAACGAGGAAACAAAAUUUUUUUUUUUGUAGUGUAUCCCCACUCUAUUACCACUAAAAACCAUUUGCCACUAUGAAUGAGUAUGUACAAAUUGUCAACGAAUCCUAAAGACUUUUGUGACUAAGAAUUGGUUUAGAUAUCCAGACCAUGUCUAACUGAUCUAUUAAUAGGUUCCUCAGGUAACUGAAUAUGCUUUGGUGUACAGUAUUAUGCUUCAAAAUGUGCAUUCCUGGCUCAGUAAAGUAUAACCUCUUGUAUCCUGUUGAUUUGUUUAAUUAAUUUUAAAGUUCUUUGUAAUUAUUAACCUGAAUUCUUUAUUAUUUUCCCUUUGCAAUGGAUGAUUUAACACAGCUUUCAUGCCCAUUCCCACCCCCUCUAACUCAUGUAGAAAUACAGUCUGAAGGAAAGCUGAAAGCUUAAGCUUUGAUGCCUGAAAGCCUGUUUUAUUUUCUGAUAUCAGAUUAGUUGUUCUGUUAUGUAAGGAACUUUGAUGAGUAUUUUCUCUCUAGUCUCUAACUGGGUAAAUAAAGUCAACACGGUUGUGUGGGUUGUUUUGUUU
rnacentral:lncRNA from 1 species